rnacentral:rRNA from 1 species
UAUUGGUCAAUGGGCUUACGGCUGAACCAGCCAAGUCGCGGGAGGGAAGACAGGCCUAUGGGUUGUAAAACUCUUUUGUCAGGGAGCAAUUGGCGCUACGAGUAGCGUUAUCGAGAGUAGCUGAAGAAAAAGCAUCGGCUAACUCCGUGCCAGCAGCCGCGGUAAUACGGAGGAUGCGAGCGUUAUCCGGAUUUAUUGGGUUUAAAGGGUGCGUAGGCGGAAUGCCGAGUCAGCGGUAAAAUCGCGGGGCUCAACCUCGCUCCGCCGUUGAAACUGGCGUUCUUGAGUGGGCGAGAAGUAUGCGGAAUGCGUGGUGUAGCGGUGAAAUGCAUAGAUAUCACGCAGAACUCCGAUUGCGAAGGCAGCAUACCGGCGCCCAACUGACGCUGAAGCACGAAAGCGUGGGUAUCG